rnacentral:rRNA from 1 species
AAUAGAUACCCUGGUAGUCCACGCCGUAAACGGUGGGCACUAGAUGUGGGGCUCUUUCCAUGAGUUCCGCGUCGCAGCUAACGCAUUAAGUGCCCCGCCUGGGGAGUACGGCCGCAAGGCUAAAACUCAAAGGAAUUGACGGGGGCCCGCACAAGCGGCGGAGCAUGCGGAUUAAUUCGAUGCAACGCGAAGAACCUUACCAAGGCUUGACAUAUACCGUUUAUCCCUAGAGAUAGGGAGUCCUUCGGGGCGGUAUACAGGUGGUGCAUGGUUGUCGUCAGCUCGUGUCGUGAGAUGUUGGGUUAAGUCCCGCAACGAGCGCAACCCUCGUUCUAUGUUGCCAGCGCGUAAUGGCGGGGACUCAUAGGAGACUGCCGGGGUCAACUCGGAGGAAGGUGGGGAUGACGUCAAAUCAUCAUGCCCCUUAUGUCUUGGGCUUCACGCAUGCUACAAUGGCCGGUACAAAGGGCUGCAAUACCGCAAGGUGAGCGAAUCCCAAAAGCCGGUCUCAGUUCGGAUUGAGGUCUGC